UACAGAGGGUGCAAGCGUUGUUCGGAAUUAUUGGGCGUAAAGGGCGCGUAGGCGGUGCGGUAAGUCUGUAGUGAAAUCUCUGGGCUCAACUCAGAGUCUGCUGCAGAAACUGCCGUGCUUGAGUACGAGAGAGGUGAGUGGAAUUCCCAGUGUAGAGGUGAAAUUCGUAGAUAUUGGGAAGAACACCGGUGGCGAAGGCGGCUCACUGGCUCGUAACUGACGCUCAUGCACGACAGCGUGGGGAUCAAACAGG
rnacentral:rRNA from 1 species